UAGAAGACCUGGAGGGCUGUACAGACAGGCAGUGACGAGGCAGUCAUAUGGUUGGGUUUACAACCAAUGAGAAGGCAGAGCAUAAAGUCUAUAUAAAGACUUUAACACAGGAAGUAGCUCUCUUUCGGAGAGGUAGGACCACCACAGGAGGACGGGUAAGGUUUUUGCUCUUAGCUCUGACCUCUUGGCUUUCUUCUUUGCAUUGGUUCUGUGUUUCUUAUUUAAUAAGACGGUUGGUUACAUCUACAAUGUACCACAGGCUUGCCCACAGGGCAAUCUGGGGGGGCAAUUAAGGUUCCCUCUUCCAAAAUGAUGGCAGCUUGUAUCACGGUGACAGGAAACUAGUCAGCAUGGGUAUUUGUCACAGGACAGUCUGUAGACAGACUCUGCUUACCGUGUCAGAUCAGCUACACUGACGUUCAUCUCUGUUUCUUCCAACCGUGAAACUGUAACAGGAGCCAAGAAACUGUUAGCAGAGUGACUGCUGACGUCAUCUAACAGAACCCCCUUCAUUUAACAAUUAGGGGAGCAAAGAUAAAGUCACACCCAUCGUGAAGCUGAUGAGUGGUACAGCACAGCUAUCGAGUUUUGUUUUGCUUUUUAAGCAUACUAUCCUGUCUUCAUCAUGUACUAGAAGUGACCCAGGAGAAGCCCGGACUGGGAACGCAGCGCUGGGGGAACACAGAGAUCCCGAUACACCUUCCCCUUCAAAGAUGGCUACCCCACAUCCACAUCCGUGGUAGAGGAAUAAAGAUGCAACGUGACUCGCUAGCCUAGGCCCCUGCAGCUGUGACCUCCUCUACCACGAUGGACCAAUGGACCAUAACUUUGGGUGAUGGUGAGCUGAAGUGAACCCUUGCCCCGUUAAGGCUCUUUUGUUAGGGCAUUCUGUGACAGCGACAGAAUAGAAACUAAGACAGUGGCAAACAGUGAGAAAAAUAAAAGUGGAUCAUUUCUCAA